UGGGAUUCCUCAUCAAGUAGGUUGCCAGU
rnacentral:piRNA from 1 species